rnacentral:lncRNA from 1 species
AAAUCUACUCUAAUAAAAGUAGGCUCUGAGUGUGUCCACCUCAGCUUUUAGAAAUUCAGGAGAGGAUGCCACAUUCAUGAAACUCACGAUUCAUGAUCAGCUUUGAUAAAACCUUUGAUAAUAAAAAAACAUUUGAUCUUCUCCUCAAUCUAAACUCAAACCAUAUGUCAUUAUAAAUCUUCCACACAUAAAUUGGAUGCUCAACGUCACAAAACGUUUGUAGAUCAUCACGAUACACCUACGAAAACACUUUCUCUCCCCCUUAGAUUUUGAUAGCUCCAAACACCAUAUUAGACCAAUAUACUUCCCAUAUCAAAAAUUAGGAAACGUCUCAUAAUUCCUUUUUCAAAUGCAGGAUGACUAAAAGGAUCUCACAUAUGUGAUUACCUGCUAUCCAUCAGCGCUUCAUCUUCAAUCUCGAUCUACUUUCCAUUUAACGAAGAUUGGUUCUUUUUGCAAUCGUUUCGUUUUAGCACACGGAGAAGGAGGGGAUGCAAAGAGUCGGUGAAUCUGCAAACCAACAUGCAGGAGAGACCAAACAGAGGUAUGCCUAUGGAGUUCACUAUAGUUAACUAUCCAUCCAUCUGUCUUUCCAUUGUUUUCAACGAUAAUAACUCAUUCUCAAGUAAUUCAAUGUGGCGUUCGCCAAAAAAGGCGGAUUGCAGAAUAGUCCCUUCAGAUUCAAGAGGGUGACAUUAAGUAAGACUGCUCUCACUGGAUUUUGAGCCAAAUCUCUAUAUGAUGCAAAAUAUUGGAUACUUGAAAAUAUCCACGCUGUAAGACACUGUAUCAGAAAACCUCGAAGAAGCGAUGGGUGUUUUUGGGUUACAAGGAAAAACAUGAAAAUUGGGUAUUUUUUUCAUAUUUAAAUUACAGUUGGAUUUUAGCACUGAUGUAUGAAGAUAAUUUGUUUUAUGUAUGCAGAGAACGUUUAAUUGUACAAUUUUGCGUAGGACAGUUGCAAAAUAACUGAAAAGAAGCAGUGAUGGCUUAUGCACACUAAAGUCAAUGCUAGGAAUCCUAAUAACUUCUUCAUUCUGCAGUCCUCUACUAUUUCAUUGUAAUUUUCUCUUUGACUUUUUCCCUUCGCACAAUAAAGAGACGAUAGCUCUAAUGUCCUAGCCCUUAUUAUUCUUAUCACCAUGGCAGAGGCGAUGGUCCUAAUAGACUUCACUGGCAUCCCUGAAUAAAGGACUAAUGGACUAUCGUGGUUGUGGAAUAUUAGACCAUGUUCAAUAGUAGCAACUCUAAAAAAGGUGCUUAAAUAUUAUUUAAUUAUUAAAUUUAAAAUCAUCUUUAUUUUAUAACAUAUAUCUGCUAGUAUCUGUUAAGCAUCGCUGCUUACAACUCUUAUUUAAGCAUUAAUGCUCAAAUUAUUCUAUUUUUAUGAUUUAAUUUUUUAAAAAAAUUAUCUAAGCACUCUUCCUAAACAUCUGCAUUAAACAUGCUCUUAUGUUCUCAAACUCCAUACAUUGUCCACUCUGUAAGUUAACCUACUACUAUUUAUGCUUCGUUAAACUAAUUUCUGUAUAAGUCAAACAUAUUGUAACGUUUAGCUCAUUUUAAUUACUAAAUAGUUGUUAUUGGAUAGGUAAAGCCUCUGCAAGUUUAAGCCCAAACCUGGCCUUGAGAGCAGGCGAGGGAGGCGACCGCCGCGGGCAUCCACUAUAAAAGGACAUAUUUUUUGCGGCAUCUACUCUAAAAGAGCAUAUUUUUUGUUAAAAAAAAAAUAUUAGAGAUUAAACUCUAGUUUACCUCAAGUCCAGGUUUGAACCAUUCCAAAAGUAUAAACAAACUUUUGGGUUUUUGUUUGAUAUAAAAAAACUAAUAUCGGCCAUCAAUGAUAGUUUGAAGAAAACCGACUAAAGAAAACCUAAAUCUAGCACAAUAAGGAAACCGUACCCAUUAGAUAAAAGAAAACUUAAAUCUAACCCAAUAAGAAAAUCGUACCCUGGGGGCUUCGCCCCCCACACCCCCCCCCAAGUGAAUCCGCGUCCAUCUAUAGUCUGUUACAUUCCUCAACUUGCUCUAGCAGAAUCUCUUUAAUUAUCUUUAUCAUCAGAAACAACAAAAUGAGUUUGCUUUGUUAUCAAUUGAGACAGUUAUGGUUGAAAAACUCGACUACGACAGUUUAAUGAAUGAUUUUACACGGAAAAAUGCAAGAAGAUCUAUAUUUCAGUAAUAAAACUAUUAUGUUUUAUUGAAUCUUUUUAUUUUCUUACAAAUCGUUUAUGGAGUUUAAUUGUUUUAUAAAGUUUUUGUUUUAUUUUUUUAUUAUUUUAAUUUUGAAAAAUAUAUAAAAGGGCAUAUUUAAAAAAGUUAGAUGCGGGCUUCCAAAUUGAUCGGUCCGGCACUGUUUAAGCCUCUGUCGUUUGUCAAGUCACUUGUGACAUACUAGCAGGAAAAUAAUGUUAAGGUUAUCAUAAUUAAGAGUCCUCCUAAUUCACAUGCUUCUCUGUUUUUUGGCUUCAAAAUCAGGUUGUGCAAGGUUUAUAUGACUGUUUGAAUAGAUUAUGAAUCUAUUCAUUUGUGGGCCACUUGAGGUUGAAUUUUCAAUUUUGUGGACACACCAAGUAUCGCCAAUUCCUCAUUCAAGGAAAUAACCUGCUUCUUAAAAAAUAGCAAAAAAUGUGUCAACACAUGGCUAG